rnacentral:rRNA from 1 species
GUGCUAAGGUAGCAUAAUCAUUUGUCUUUUAAAUGAAGACUAGAACAAAAGAUUUUACAUUUCAAUCUAUUUUCCAAAAUUAUUUUAUCCAAAUUUUCUUAAAUGUAAAAAGACAUUUCUAAAAAAGAAAGACGAUAAGACCCUAUUGAACUUUACUUAAGUUUAACUGGGGCAGUUAAUUAAUUAUUAUUUUAAUAAAAAUAUCAUUAUAAAUAUCUUAUACUAUAAAUAAUUCAGUUACCAUAGGGAUAACAGCGUAAUUAUAUUUCCAAAGAUCUUAUAUAAAAAAUAGAUUGCGACCUCGAUGUUGAAUUAAUAACCUAAAUAAGGCAGAACUUAAAUAAGGAAGUCUGUUCGACUUUUAAAAAAUUACAUGAUUUGAGUUCAGACCGGCGUAAGCCAGGUCGGUUUCCAUCUUCUAAAAAAUUUCUUACAGUACGAAAGGGCCCAAGAAUAUAAUAUUAUUAUCUUAUUAGCAAAUAAAUGCAUUAGAAUUAGAAUCUAAAAAAACUAAA